rnacentral:tRNA from 1 species
GGGCCCGUGGUCUAGUCCGGUCUAUGACACCACCCUUACAAGUAGGAUCUGGGGAAUUCAAAUCCGGGCGGGCCCA